GAUGAACGCUGGCGGCGUGCCUAAUACAUGCAAGUCGAGCGAACAGACGAUGAUCUUGCUCCUCUCACGUUAGCGGCGGACGUGUGUGUAACACGUGUAUACCCUACCUAUCAGACUGGUAUAACUUCGGGACACCGGAGCUUAUACCGUAUAAUCUAUUGCACCGCAUGGUGCAAUAGUGAAAGACGGUUUUUCUGUCUCUUAUCGAUGGAUCCGCGCCGCAUUAGCUAGUUGGUAAGGUAACGGCUUACCAAGGCAACGAUGCGUAGCCGACCUGGGAGGGUGAUAGGUCGCAAGGGAAGUGAGACAGGGUCACGACGACUGAGGGAGGCAGCAGAAGGGAAUGGGCCGCAAUGGGCGAAAGCCUGACGGAGCAACGCCACGUGAGAGAUGAAGGUGUUGGGAGCGGAAAAAUCGGUUAUUAGGGAAGAACAAAUGUGGAAGGAACUAUGCAGGGCGUGACGGUAACGAAUCAGAAAGCCACGGCUAACUACGUG
rnacentral:rRNA from 1 species